CAGUGCCGCGGGAAUACCGAGGGUGCAAGCGUUAAUCGGAAUUACUGGGCGUAAAGCGCGCGUAGGUGGUUUGUUAAGUUGGAUGUGAAAGCCCCGGGCUCAACCUGGGAACUGCAUCCAAAACUGGCAAGCUAGAGUACGGUAGAGGGUGGUGGAAUUUCCUGUGUAGCGGUGAAAUGCGUAGAUAUAGGAAGGAACACCAGUGGCGAAGGCGACCACCUGGACUGAUACUGACACUGAGGUGCGAAAGCGUGGGGAGCAAACAGGAUUAGAUACCCCUGUAGUCCCUGUCUCUUAUACA
rnacentral:rRNA from 1 species